GUGGGGAAUAUUGGACAAUGGGCGAAAGCCUGAUCCAGCAAUGCCGCGUGAGUGAUGAAGGCCUUAGGGUUGUAAAGCUCUUUUACCAGGGAUGAUAAUGACAGUACCUGGAGAAUAAGCUCCGGCUAACUCCGUGCCAGCAGCCGCGGUAAUACGGAGGGAGCUAGCGUUGUUCGGAAUUACUGGGCGUAAAGCGCACGUAGGCGGUUACUCAAGUCAGAGGUGAAAGCCCGGGGCUCAACCCCGGAACUGCCUUUGAAACUAGGUAACUAGAAUCUUGGAGAGGUCAGUGGAAUUCCGAGUGUAGAGGUGAAAUUCGUAGAUAUUCGGAAGAACACCAGUGGCGAAGGCGACUGACUGGACAAGUAUUGACACUGAGGUGCGAAAGCGUGGGGAGCAAACAGGAUUAGAUACCCGAGUAGUCC
rnacentral:rRNA from 1 species